GAUGAAGAACGUAGCGAAAUGCGAUACUUGGUGUGAAUUGCAGAAUCCCGUGAACCAUCGAGUCUUUGAACGCAAGUUGCGCCCGAAGCCAUCAGGCCGAGGGCACGCCUGCCUGGGCGUCACACGUCGUUGCCCCCCCAUCUACUCCUUCGGGAUUGCGGGGGGCGGAUGAUGGCCUCCCGUGCGCCUCGCCGCGCGGUUGGCAUAAAUGCCAAGUCCUCGGCGACGCACGCCACGACAAUCGGUGGUUGCGAAACCUCGGUUGCCCGUCGUGUGCGGUCGUCGCGCAUCGAGGGCUCGAAAAAAUUGCCGGGUUCCGGCUCGGCUUUCAACGCGACCCCAGGUCAGGCGGGGUUACCCGCUGAAUUUAAGCAUAUCAAUAAGCGGAGGA
rnacentral:misc_RNA from 1 species